GGGUUGUGAGGUUAAGUGACUAAGCGUACACGGUGGAUGCCUAGGCAGUCAGAGGCGAUGAAGGGCGUGCUAAUCUGCGAUAAGCGUCGGUAAGGUGAUAUGAACCGUAAUAACCGGCGAUACCCGAAUGGGGAAACCCAGUGUGUUUCGACACACUAUCAUGUCAUGAAUACAUAGUGGCAUGAGGCGAACCGGGGGAACUGAAACAUCUAAGUACCCCGAGGAAAAGAAAUCAACCGAGAUUCCCCCAGUAGCGGCGAGCGAACGGGGAGGAGCCCAGAACCUGAAUCAGUUCUUGUGUUAGUGGAAGCGUCUGGAAAGUCGCGCAGUAAAGGGUGAUAGCCCCGUACACUAAAAUGCAUUAAUUGUGAGUUCGAUGAGUAGGGCGGGACACGUGACAUCCUGUCUGAAUAUGGGGGGACCAUCCUCCAAGGCUAAAUACUCCUGACUGACCGAUAGUGAACCAGUACCGUGAGGGAAAGGCGAAAAGAACCCCGGCGAGGGGAGUGAAAUAGAACCUGAAACCGUGUACGUACAAGCAGUGGGAGCACCUUCGUGGUGUGACUGCGUACCUUUUGUAUAAUGGGUCAGCGACUUAUAUUUUGUAGCAAGGUUAACCGAAUAGGGGAGCCGUAGGGAAACCGAGUCUUAACUGGGCGUCUAGUUGCAAGGUAUAGACCCGAAACCCGGUGAUCUAGCCAUGGGCAGGUUGAAGGUUGGGUAACACUAACUGGAGGACCGAACCGACUAAUGUUGAAAAAUUAGCGGAUGACUUGUGGCUGGGGGUGAAAGGCCAAUCAAACCGGGAGAUAGCUGGUUCUCCCCGAAAGCUAUUUAGGUAGCGCCUCGUGAACUCAUCUUCGGGGUAGAGCACUGUUUCGGCUAGGGGGCCAUCCCGGCUUACCAAACCGAUGCAAACUCCGAAUACCGAAGAAUGUUAUCACGGGAGACACACGGCGGGUGCUAACGUCCGUCGUGAAGAGGGAAACAACCCAGACCGCCAGCUAAGGUCCCAAAGUCAUGGUUAAGUGGGAAACGAUGUGGGAAGGCACAGACAGCCAGGAUGUUGGCUUAGAAGCAGCCAUCAUUUAAAGAAAGCGUAAUAGCUCACUGGUCGAGUCGGCCUGCGCGGAAGAUGUAACGGGGCUAAACCAUGCACCGAAGCUGCGGCAGCGACGCUUAGGCGUUGUUGGGUAGGGGAGCGUUCUGUAAGCCUGUGAAGGUGUACUGUGAGGUAUGCUGGAGGUAUCAGAAGUGCGAAUGCUGACAUAAGUAACGAUAAAGCGGGUGAAAAGCCCGCUCGCCGGAAGACCAAGGGUUCCUGUCCAACGUUAAUCGGGGCAGGGUGAGUCGACCCCUAAGGCGAGGCUGAAAAGCGUAGUCGAUGGGAAACAGGUUAAUAUUCCUGUACUUGGUGUUACUGCGAAGGGGGGACGGAGAAGGCUAGGCUAGCCGGGCGACGGUUGUCCCGGUUUAAGCGUGUAGGAGGGUGUUCCUGGUAAAUCCGGAAUGCCGUUAACUCUGAGGCGUGAUGACGAUGCACUACGGUGCAGAAGUAGUUGAUGCCAAGCUUCCAGGAAAAGCCUCUAAGCAUCAGGUAACACGAAAUCGUACCCCAAACCGACACAGGUGGUCAGGUAGAGAAUACCAAGGCGCUUGAGAGAACUCGGGUGAAGGAACUAGGCAAAAUGGUGCCGUAACUUCGGGAGAAGGCACGCUGGCGCGUAGGUGAAGUCCCUUGCGGAUGGAGCUGAAGCCAGUCGCAGAUACCAGCUGGCUGCAACUGUUUAAUAAAAACACAGCACUGUGCAAACACGAAAGUGGACGUAUACGGUGUGACGCCUGCCCGGUGCCGGAAGGUUAAUUGAUGGGGUCAGCCGCAAGGCGAAGCUCUUGAUCGAAGCCCCGGUAAACGGCGGCCGUAACUAUAACGGUCCUAAGGUAGCGAAAUUCCUUGUCGGGUAAGUUCCGACCUGCACGAAUGGCGUAAUGAUGGCCAGGCUGUCUCCACCCGAGACUCAGUGAAAUUGAACUCGCUGUGAAGAUGCAGUGUACCCGCGGCAAGACGGAAAGACCCCGUGAACCUUUACUAUAGCUUGACACUGAACAUUGAGCCUUGAUGUGUAGGAUAGGUGGGAGGCUUUGAAGCGUGGACGCCAGUCUGCGUGGAGCCAACCUUGAAAUACCACCCUUUAAUGUUUGAUGUUCUAACUCGGCCCCAUAAUCUGGGGUGAGGACAGUGUCUGGUGGGUAGUUUGACUGGGGCGGUCUCCUCCCAAAGAGUAACGGAGGAGCACGAAGGUUAGCUAAUCACGGUCGGACAUCGUGAGGUUAGUGCAAAGGCAUAAGCUAGCUUGACUGCGAGAGUGACGGCUCGAGCAGGUGCGAAAGCAGGUCUUAGUGAUCCGGUGGUUCUGAAUGGAAGGGCCAUCGCUCAACGGAUAAAAGGUACUCCGGGGAUAACAGGCUGAUACCGCCCAAGAGUUCAUAUCGACGGCGGUGUUUGGCACCUCGAUGUCGGCUCAUCACAUCCUGGGGCUGAAGUAGGUCCCAAGGGUAUGGCUGUUCGCCAUUUAAAGUGGUACGCGAGCUGGGUUUAGAACGUCGUGAGACAGUUCGGUCCCUAUCUGCCGUGGGCGUUGGAAGAUUGAGAGGGGUUGCUCCUAGUACGAGAGGACCGGAGUGAACGCACCACUGGUGUUCGGGUUGUCAUGCCAAUGGCACUGCCCGGUAGCUAAGUGCGGAAAAGAUAAGCGCUGAAAGCAUCUAAGCGCGAAACUUGCCUCGAGAUGAGUCUUCCCUGGGCCUUUAAGGCCCCUGAAGGAACGUUUAAGACUAAGACGUUGAUAGGCUGGGUGUGUAAGUGCAGCGAUGCAUUGAGCUAACCAGUACUAAUGAUCCGUGAGGCUUAACCUUACAACACCGAAGGUGUUUUAG
rnacentral:rRNA from 1 species